rnacentral:rRNA from 1 species
UGGGGGAAUAUUGGGCAAUGGAGGAAACUCUGACCCAGCAACGCCGCGUGAAGGAAGAAGGCCCUCUGGGUUGUAAACUUCUGUUGUAUAGGAAAAAGAAGUGAUGGUACUAUACGAGUAAGCUACGGCAAACUACGUGCCAGCAGCCGCGGUAAUACGUAGGUGGCAAGCGUUGUCCGGAAUGACUGGGCGUAAAGGGAGUCUAGGUGGCUGAGUAAGUCAACUGUGAAAGCCUAUGGCUUAACCAUAGAAGAGCAGUUGAUACUGUUUAGCUGGAGUGCAGGAGAGGUAAUGGGAAUUCCUAGUGUAGCGGUAAAAUGCAUAGAGAUUAGGAGGAACACCAGAGGCGAAGGCGCAUUACUGGACUGUAACUGACACUGAAGCUCGAAAGCGUGGGUAGC